GCUGUGGUGGUGUAAUGGGUAGCAUUCCUGUCUAGUAAACUAGGAGACCUGGGUUCAAGUCCCGGCCAUGGCA